rnacentral:rRNA from 1 species
GGAAGGAGAAGUCGUAACAAGGUUUUCCAAUGGUCCUUCUCGCCCCUGUUGGGUUCGAGUCGCACGGAAGCCUGAGCGGUGCAUGCGAUGCAUGCGUCGCUAGUGCCCUUUGAGGGUGCGAUGCUAUCAAAUUGCGGGGAAGCCCUUGGAAGUUAAAUCUUUCCCACCACUUUUGCUACCAAGCACGGCGGCCGAUGGCCGAGUGUGGCCAAGUCAAUGAGCUUGGGUAUGGUGACAACGCAAAGUGGGUUGGACAACCCGCAGCCAAACCGUCGGCAUUCGGCGGUGCUGCUCACAGACUAGAUGAUAGCAGGUUGAUGCAGCCCUUAGGCUCGCCAGCUCAAGAUAUAGUCGGUCCAUGCGGGAGACCGAUGGAAGUGUAWUUMNCUUCUGCAUGAGUAUUCACCGUUCCGUAGGUGAACCUGCGGAAGGAUCA